rnacentral:rRNA from 1 species
UACGUAGGGGGCAAGCGUUGUCCGGAAUCAUUGGGCGUAAAGAGCGUGUAGGCGGCCAGAUAAGUCCGCUGUGAAAUCUCGAGGCUCAACUUCGAGCUGUCGGUGGAAACUGUCUGGCUAGAGUCCGGAAGAGGAGAAUGGAAUUCCUGGUGUAGCGGUGAAAUGCGCAGAUAUCAGGAAGAACACCCGUGGCGAAGGCGGUUCUCUGGGCCUUACCUGACGCUGAGGAGCGAAAGCAUGGGGAGCAAACAGG